rnacentral:misc_RNA from 1 species
GAUGACGUAGCAAAAUGCGAUAAGUAAUGUGAAUUGCAGAAUUCAGUGAAUCAUCGAAUCUUUGAACGCACAUUGCGCCCGCCAGUAUUCUGGCGGGCAUGCCUGUUCGAGCGUCAUUUCAACCCUCAAGCACAGCUUGGUGUUGGGACUCGCGUUAAUUCGCGUUCCUCAAAUUGAUUGGCGGUCACGUCGAGCUUCCAUAGCGUAGUAGUAAAACCCUCGUUACUGGUAAUCGUCGCGGCCACGCCGUUAAACCCCAACUUCUGAAUGUUGACCUCGGAUCAGGUAGGAAUACCCGCUGAACUUAAGCAUAUCAAUAAGCGGAGGA